rnacentral:rRNA from 1 species
UCUGGUUGAUCCUGCCAGUAGUCAUACGCUUCUCUCAAAGAUUAAGCCAUGCAUGUGUAAGUACAAGUCCUUGUACGGCAAAACUGCGAACGGCUCAUUAUAACAGUCAUAGUUUAUUUGGCACUCUAUACAUGGAUAACUGUAUUAAUUCUAGAGCUAAUACAUGCCUGAAGACUUAGGCUUGCCUAAGUCGUAGUUAUUAGUUGAAACCAAUGCGCUUCGGCGCUCGGUGGUGAGUCAUGAUAACAGUUCUGAUCGUCUUCGGACGACGCACCAUUCAAGUUUCUGCCCUAUCAGCUGUCGAUGGUAGGGUAUUGGCCUACCAUGGCUGUAACGGGUAACGGGGAAUUAGGGUUCGAUUCCGGAGAAGGAGCCUGAGAGACGGCUGCUACUUCUAAGGAAAGCAGCAGGCCCGUAACUUACCCAAUCCUUACACGGGGAGGUAGUGACAAGAAAUAACGGUACUGGACUUUAGUCCUGUCAUCGGAAUGAGCACAGAGUACACCUCUUAGCGAGGAUCAAUUGGAGGGCAAUUUUGAAUGCCAGCAGCCGCGGUAAUUUUCAAUCCAAUAGCGUAUAUUAAAGUUGUUGCAGUUAAAAAGCUCGUAGUUGGACCUCUGCCUAGUGACGCCCUUCGGGGCUGUUACGGGCUUUCUCGGAAGGACGCCGUGGUGCAUUCAUUUGUACCACGGACGAGCUCCGUCGUUUACUGUGGGCAAAUUAGGGUGUUCAAAGCAGGCAAGCGCUUGCAUACGUUAGCAUGGAAUAAUAAGAUAUGGCCGAGGCGCUAUUUUGUUGGUUUGCGUGUUUCGGCAAUGGUUAACAGGAGCAGUCGUGGAUAUUCGUAUGAGCAAGUCAGAGGUGAAAUUCUUGGAUUUUGGUCAGACGAACUACUGCGAAAGCAUUUAUCAAGGAUGUUUUCAUUAAUCAAGAACGAAAGUUAGGGGAUCGAAGAUGAUUAGAUACCAUCGUAGUCUUAACCAUAAACUAUGCCAACUAGGGGUCGGCAAGCGUCCGGUAUGCGACCUUGCCGGUACCUUACGAGAAAUCAAAGUCUUUGGGUUCUGGGGGGAGUAUGGUCGCAAGGCUGAAACUUAAAGGAAUUGACGGAAGGGCACACCAGGCGUGGAGUGCGCGGCUUAAUUUGACCCAACACGGGAAAACUUACCAGGUCCGGACAUAAUAAGGAUUGACAGAUUGAGAGCUCUUUCUUGAUUGUAUGGGUGGCGGUGCAUGGCCGUUCUUAGUUGGUGGAGUGAUUUGUCUGGUUAAUUCCGUUAACGAACGAGACCUCAGCCUGCUAAAUAGUUCCGUCGUUUACCUAACGACGGAACUUCUUAGAGGGACAUUUCGGGAUUACCGGAAGGAAGUUUGAGGCAAUAACAGGUCUGUGAUGCCCUUAGAUGUUCUGGGCCGCACGCACACUACAAUGACGAGUUCAGCGAGCUCCGUGACCUAGCGGUUACGGGAAUCAUGAAUACUCGCCGUGAUGGGGCUAGACCCUUGCAAUUAUUGGUCUUUAACGAGGAAUGCCUAGUAAACGCAAGUCAUUAACUUGCAUUGAUUACGUCCCUGCCCUUUGUACACACCGCCCGUCGCACCUACCGAUUGAGUUGUCCGGUGAAAUCUUCGGAUUGGCUUAUGUUCGCAUGAGCCAAGAAGUGGAUUGAACCUUACGUCUUAGAGGAAGGUGAAGUCGUAACAAGGUU